AGUAAUGGUGACAGCAGGUCUGAUCAGAGCCUCUGCAGCUCUGCUCUGGAUUGUAGGUCUAAUUGAUGGGAGUGAUGUCACCCAGCAGCCUCUGCUGUGGAGGCCCGAGGGUCAGUCGGCCACAAUCAACUGCAGUCACACUAAGGAUGCUACUUUUUUCCAGAUGUACUGGUACAGACAGCUGCCAGGGGAGGGAAUUAAGCAAAUCGUUUUCACAACUCCAACUCCCCCACAUAAAUAUGAAAGUGGCUUCAGUGAGGAGAAAUUUCCAGCAACAAAGAGCGAUGCUCUGACUGGAUCUUUGACGGUGGAGAAGCUGCUGCCUGAGGACAGAGGAGUGUAUUUUUGUGCUGUGAGUCAACACAGUGAUGCAGGUGACUGA